UACGUAGGGUGCGAGCGUUAAUCGGAAUUACUGGGCGUAAAGGGUGUGCAGGCGGGGCUGCAAGUGGUGGAUGAAAUCUCCCAGCUUAACUGGGAUAGGUUAUGCCAGACUGCAGUUCUAGAGGACGAGAGAGGGGGGUGGAAUUCCGGGUGUAGUGGUGAAAUGCGUAGAGAUCCGGAGGAACCCCAGAGGCGAAGGCGGCCCCCUGGCUCGUACCUGACGCUCAGCCACGAAAGCAUGGGGAGCGAACGGG
rnacentral:rRNA from 1 species